GACGAACGCUGGCGGCGUGCUUAACACAUGCAAGUCGAACGGAAAGGCCCUGCUUUUGUGGGGUGCUCGAGUGGCGAACGGGUGAGUAACAAGUGAGUAACCUGCCCUUUACUUUGGGAUAACUUCAGGAAACUGGGGCUAAUACCGGAUAGGAGCUCCUGCUGCAUGGUGGGGGUUGGAAAGUUUCGGCGGUUGGGGAUGGACUCGCGGCUUAUCAGCUUGUUGGUGGGGUAGUGGCUUACCAAGGCGUUGACGGGUAGCCGGCCUGAGAGGGUGACCGGCCACAUUGGGACUGAGAUACGGCCCAGACUCCUACGGGAGGCAGCAGGGGGGAAUAUUGCACAAUGGGCGGACGCCUGAUGCAGCAACGCCGCGUGCGGGAUGACGGCCUUCGGGGUGUAAACCGCUUUAGCCUGUGACGAAGAGUGAGUGACGGUAAUGGGUAAAGAAGCACCGGCUAACUACGUG
rnacentral:rRNA from 1 species